UACGUAGGGUGCCGGCGUUACUCGGAAUUACUGGGCGUAAAGCGUGCGCAGGCGGUUUGCUAAGACAGGUGUGAAAUCCCCGGGCUUAACCUGGGAACUGCGCUUGUAACUGGCAAGCUAGAGUGUGGCAGAGGGGGGUGGAAUUCCACGUGUAGCAGUGAAAUGCGUAGAGAUGUGGAGGAACACCGAUGGCGAAGGCAGCCCCCUGGGCUAACACUGACGCUCAUGCACGAAAGCGUGGGGAGCAAACAGG
rnacentral:rRNA from 1 species